rnacentral:tRNA from 1 species
GCCCGGGUGGCGGAACUGGUAGACGCAAGGGACUUAAAAUCCCUCGGCCCUAGGCCGUACGAGUUCGAUUCUCGUCCCGGGUACCA